rnacentral:rRNA from 1 species
CAAGUCGAACGGCGAGCGCGGGGCGAACCUAGGCGGCGAGUGGCGAACGGGUGAGUAAUAUAUCGGAACGUACCCUGGAUGGGGGAUAACGUAGCGAAAGUUACGCUAAUACCGCAUACGAUCUAAGGAUGAAAGUGGGGGAUCGCAAGACCUCAUGCUCCUGGAGCGGCCGAUAUCUGAUUAGCUAGUUGGUGGGGUAAAGGCCUACCAAGGCAUCGAUCAGUAGCUGGUCUGAGAGGACGACCAGCCACACUGGAACUGAGACACGGUCCAGACUCCUACGGGAGGCAGCAGUGGGGAAUUUUGGACAAUGGGCGAAAGCCUGAUCCAGCAAUGCCGCCGUGAGUGAAGAAGGCCUUCGGGUUGUAAAGCUCUUUUGUCAGGGAAGAAACGGUGAGGGCUAAUAUCCUUUGCUAAUGACGGUACCUGAAGAAUAAGCACCGGCUAACUACGUGCCAGCCGCCGC